rnacentral:rRNA from 1 species
GGGGGGGGGGGGGGGGGGGCCGGGGGGGGGCGGGGCGGGCGGGCGGGGGGGGAGGUUGGUUCGCUGGUGUUGGCGGCGGGCGGGUGGGUCACACGUGGAUAGCCUACCUAUAAGACUGGGCUAACUUCGUGAAACCGGAGCUAAUACCGGAUAAUAUUUUGACCCGCAUUGUUCAAACGUGAACGGCGGUCUUGCUGUCACUUCUAUAUGGAUCCGCGCUGCAUUAGCUAGUUGGUAAGGUAACGGCGUACCAAGGCAACGAUGCAUAGCCGACCUGAGAGGGUGAUCGGCCACACUGGAACUGAGACACGGUCCAGACUCCUACGGGAGGCAGCAGUAGGGAAUCUUCCGCAAUGGGCGAAAGCCUGACGGAGCAACGCCGCGUGAGUGAUGAAGGUCUUCGGAUCGUAAAACUCUGUUAUUAGGGAAGAACAUAUGUGUAAGUAACUGUGCACAUCUUGACGGUACCUAAUCAGAAAGCCACGGCUAACUACGUG